GUUGCGAAAGGCGGUGGCGUGCGUCGAGUCGUCGGCAGAGUUGCAUAUUGUGAGAGUAAACUAGUCAAUUACGGGUCGCGCCAAACCCAUCAAGGCUGCACAGAAGCUGAUAGGCGGGUUCUGUCAAUUUUGUGGUGGAUUCUGAGCUCUUACGAGUCCGCUGUGUUGGGAACAUUUGAUUUACGCACUGGGCAGUAGCAUUCGGCAUCAAAAGGAUUCACAGCAGAACUUCCCAAUUGGCUGGAUGUGCGGCUGAGGAUGGUUGAGAUGGACGACACGCUGCAAGAGUUCGCGUCGACGGGGCGCGCCGGCCGCCGUAACGCGCUGCCCGACAUCCGAGGCGAGCACGCCACCACGUCCACGGCCGACCUGCCCGAGCAGAUGGAGAAGAUGUCGUGUUCAGACGCCGAUAGCGACGCGCGGCCGUCGGCGGCAUCGAGCGGCAGCGGCAGCGGAAGCGCGUCGCCAGAGCAGAACAAGGAUGGCAAGUCGUAGUGGGACGUCAACGAGGCGGGGCGCCGGCUGUCGGCGGCUCCGGCACAGCGCGACAUGGCGUCCCGGGCGACUCCCGACUGGGGGAGGGCUCGCCGCACCCGGCGGCGCCCGCCUCCUACUCAGCCCGACGGCUCUAGUCUUUCGCGGCGGCCGCUCCGCGCGCCGCGGCGUCGCCUCGCGCGCCAGUGUGAUACCCGCGCGCCCGCCUGUGACGGCGCGAAGAGCGGCACCCGCGGGCUGGCGGUGCCGCCCGCUGUGGCUUGUGGGGAGGGGCACGGAGCGCGCACCCGCUCGCUGGAUGGCGGGUGCGUGCUCCCAGCGCCGGACCUAGUCUUUGCAGUGCUGCCGGCGCAGGGUCGGGCGUGGACCGCCGGGCGGUUUCCGCGUGGCGCAGGCUUAGUUUUACAGGUGCAGUUUGCCCUGGUGGUCCCCGCUGUGCGUGCGUUGAGACCCCAUUGCAUGCGCUGUGAGAAGAUGCAUGCUUUGGGGAUGGUUUUUCCCCAGAAAGGUCCUCAGGUUGUCGUCAUCAUCUGCUACGCUUAUUUGGAAGAGUGACGCAUAUCAUUCAUUUAUCCGAAUCCUUCGCCGCUUGUGUGCCAUAACUCAUACCAAAGAGUUGCUUUCAAACCACCCUGCCUUUGUUAUGCACUUCACACUGAAGGCAUGAACCGCCGAGAACUGCCGUUUUUUACUGUUGAGUUUGUUCACGUACUCUGCGCAGUACCACGCCCUGCAUAAUGUGCGAGGUUGAUGGGAAGCCAUCUGACAUUUGAUGGCGUUGGCGUCAGUCGUCUUUUGUCGUCCUGUUUCGUCUCCGUGCUGCACUCUCCUCCACGACUGGACGCUGUGUGUGUGGCCAGUGGCAGAUUACUGGAGAUGUAAUGAAGGCGGGCGCCUGCAGACCGAGCCCUACCGAGUUUGCAUCACCUCGCGCACCGGCCCUAGAUGCUGCGGCCAGGGCUCGGCGGCCGCGUCACAGUUUCAGUAGUCGUCUGUGGGUAGAUAUGCCGUGGCCGGCUCCACGCUCGCCUCACUCUCAAGUGCGGUCGGCUGCGUGUCGCCUAUUCUGGUGUAGUGUCCUUGCCGUGGUGCACGUUGGCGUGUUUUGUACUAGAACGGCAAGCAAACCGAUAAUCACUCAUCGGUGAGUGAAUGCGAUAGGCUUUCUAUGAUCCAGCUUAGACGGAGCCACGAAGGUGCGUCCUCGUACAGUUUCACUUUCAUUUUUAUGACUUGCAACGUCUUGUAACGCAUGAGAUGGUACCAUUAACAUUGUCAUCCAAGUCAGUGGUUCUUGCAGUUUUGUUCGCACUAAAUAAAUCACAUGUGUCUGCUGGUUAAAGUACGGAAUGUAAGGUAACAUCGGACGCAGUCCGUGUUUGCUACUGACUAUUUUUCCCAUAUCCUGGAUGUAGUGGCGUGUGCGUGAAGUAACACACACAUCCGUUUUAUCGCCGUUUGUAAAACUACGCAGUUUUAGGUCAGUUCUGGUGGGCAUCUCGCCCACAAAUUUUGAUUCACUUGCGGGUAUCACACCAUCCCUUGGAAUGUUUUGAAACGAUGUGAGCACCACGAGCGAAUUAAGCGCUUGUGAUAAAAGUUUCGUUUUGCUUGACUGCCAUCAGGAUGAACACAUUUGUAACUCUCGGCCAAUCUGCGCAAAAUGGUUAUGAGGCGGGUUUCCAUUAUGUACCUGACUUGGGUUGGUCACUAUUCAAUUGCGCGUAUUUGGGUGGCAAUGUUCAUCUCUCAGAGUAACUACUUUGUUCUCACGCUUGUCUAAUAACCGUCCCUCUGUGUGUUACGCGUGUGAUAACCUGGCAUUGUUCCUGCCUUGCUGUUUUAUGUUGCCCGAUGAUGUUUGUUUUGCUAUACGAAAAAGUAUGUUAAAUUGAGCGGUGUGCAUAUGGCGAUGUACUGAAGAAGCCAAAGCGUAUUACUUCCCACUGGACGAAAGGCUGGUGUGGACCUCUACUUUUAUCGUGCCGUUUGAUAGGAGCAUAAUGUUUCAACAGAGAUGAUAGCAACACGCAUCCAGGUGCAGUGAACUGAUGAUUUAGUUAUGGAAUGAUUUGUUACAUGUUCGGUAUGUCGCCCUCGAUGUUUGUGAGGCGUAUAGUUGUUUGUGAAGCGUAAAUUAGAUAUCCUGAAGUUAUUUCGCCUGCUGCUUAUUGUCGACGGCAUGUGCAAAAACCUCUGUGCGGCGGAUGAUGAACUGGAGCGUCCGCGUAAGAAUAGUGUGGGUCGAUGGUCGGAUCCCCUCUUCCCCCCCCCCCCCCAAACAUUGAGCUCUUGGCCACUCUUCAGUAAUUAUCUUGGUAAAUUGACGUGGUAUUGGUGAAUAUUCAGGAGCCGAGAUGAAUACGGGCGAAGGGCAAAACUGGUGUAAGAGGAUAGACAGCUCCACUCAUUGGCUUCAGUAAAAAUUCGAAGCCUGAAACUUGGACGGUUCUAGGUAAUCAAUUGCUUCAGCUGCGGGCGUCUGCGGUAAGGCUCCGCUAAAAACUGUAAAUAAUCGUGAAAUAACGUGAUGAACUUAGCGGGGUGGGCCGUACAGUGGACCGAAGUUCUGCAGUUGGCAACACCUUUGAAGUACCUCAGAUAGUAAUUGCAUGUAAGUUGCCAAGACUGCCUUUGUGUCCGCCCUAUAACCUUUGUCUUGCAAUUGAUUUAUAUCUUCGUGUGUAUUUUGUGGUCAAACUCCCUCUUGUUUCCCACGUUGAGCCAGUGUUGACAGAUCACUGGUUGGCAAAGCGUGUUGUACCUGCAUCGACGGCGUGUUCAAAAUGCAAUGUCUCUUGUUUUAAUGCGCGACUGAGAUGGACAGUCCGUGGUCUCCUCCAUCACAUGCUUGCGGCAAGCCCGACCAACGCAAAGGCUGUGCAUGGUGAUGUGGAACACAACGAAACUGGAUGCUUUAUGUUCUAGUUUGGUUCCGUGGGGACGUCCACCCACGACGUGUUCAGGUAUGCUCCGGGAAUGACAAAACAUUCGGGCUAUACAUCUGCGGGACUCCGCGCUUCAUUAAAGGGAAAAUACGGCAUUUCAUGCGCUCAUUGCUCUAGCUCUGUACGCUUUCCAGGGUACGAGGGUCUGGAACUGGACUGCAUUCAAUGCCGCUGUGUGAUGUCAAUGGUAGCAGUGAAUAAACAAAAUAUUGUUUCA
rnacentral:lncRNA from 1 species